rnacentral:rRNA from 1 species
GAUGAACGCUGGCGGCGUGCUUAACACAUGCAAGUCGAACGAUUAAGCCCAGCUUGCUGGGUGGAUUAGUGGCGAACGGGUGAGUAACACGUGAGUAACCUGCCCGUAACUCUGGGAUAAGCCUGGGAAACUGGGCCUAUUACCGGUUAGUCGCGUCCACGGCAUGGUGGGUGCUGGGAAGCUUUAGCGGUUUUGGAUGGACUCGUGGCAUAUCAGCUUGUUUGUGGUGUAAUGGCUCACCAAGGAGGCUACGGGUAGCCCGCAUGAGAGGGUGACCGACCUCCAUGGGACUGCGGCACGGCGCAGACUCGUAUAGGAGACAGCAGUGGGAAGUAUUGUACAAUCGGCGCAAGCGUGUGAAAGAGAUCCCGGGAGUGGGAUGACGGUUUUCGGGUUAUGAACCUCUUUCAGUAAAGAAGAUGCGGUUGUGACGGUACCUGCAGAAGAAGCACCGGCUAACUACGUG